CGUACACGGUGGAUGCCUUGGCAGUCAGAGGCGAUGAAGGACGUAUUAACUUGCGAUAAGCCCAGAUUAGGCAGUAAAAGCCACUUGAGUCUGGGAUUUCCGAAUGGGGAAACCCACUAGCAUAAGCUAGUAUCGCUGCGUGAAUACAUAGCGCAGCGAGGCGAACCGGGGGAACUGAAACAUCUAAGUACCCCGAGGAAAAGAAAUCAACCGAGAUUCCGAAAGUAGCGGCGAGCGAAAUUGGACUAGCCCUUAAGCUUUACACGCGUUAGACGAACGGUCUGGAAAGUCCGACGAUACAGGGUGAUAGUCCCGUAGUUGACGACGUGUGUUCAGUGAAAUCGAGUAGGGCGGGACACGUGAUAUCCUGUCUGAAUAUGGGGGGACCAUCCUCCAAGGCUAAAUACUACUGACUGACCGAUAGUGAACCAGUACCGUGAGGGAAAGGCGAAAAGAACCCCUGUGAGGGGAGUGAAAUAGAACCUGAAACCGUGUACGUACAAGCAGUAGGAGCAGGCUUUGUCCUGUGACUGCGUACCUUUUGUAUAAUGGGUCAGCGACUUAUAUUCAGUGGCAAGGUUAACCAUCUAGGGGAGCCGUAGGGAAACCGAGUCUUAACUGGGCGUUUUAGUCUCUGGAUAUAGACCCGAAACCAGGUGAUCUAGCCAUGGGCAGGUUGAAGGUUGAGUAACAUCAACUGGAGGACCGAACCGACUAAUGUUGAAAAAUUAGCGGAUGACUUGUGGCUAGGGGUGAAAGGCCAAUCAAACCUGGAGAUAGCUGGUUCUCCCCGAAAGCUAUUUAGGUAGCGCCUCGGACGAAUACUACUGGGGGUAGAGCACUGUUAAGGCUAGGGGGUCAUCCCGACUUACCAACCCUUUGCAAACUCCGAAUACCAGUAAGUACUAUCCGGGAGACACACGGCGGGUGCUAACGUCCGUCGUGGAGAGGGAAACAACCCAGACCGCCAGCUAAGGUCCCAAAUUACUACUAAGUGGGAAACGAUGUGGGAAGGCUCAGACAGCCAGGAUGUUGGCUUAGAAGCAGCCAUCAUUUAAAGAAAGCGUAAUAGCUCACUGGUCGAGUCGGCCUGCGCGGAAGAUGUAACGGGGCUAAGUAGUAAACCGAAGCUGCGGCAAUACGCAUGCUGGACGUAUCAGAAGUGCGAAUGCUGACAUGAGUAACGAUAAAGGGGGUGAAAAACCUCCUCGCCGGAAGACCAAGGGUUCCUGUCCAACGUUAAUCGGGGCAGGGUAAGUCGACCCCUAAGGCGAGGCCGAAAGGCGUAGUCGAUGGGAAACGGGUUAAUAUUCCCGUACUUCUUACAAUUGCGAUGGGGGGACGGAGAAGGCUAGGUGGGCCUGGCGACGGUUGUCCAGGUUCAAGUGCGUAGGCUU
rnacentral:rRNA from 1 species